AAUAAGUGCCUACCACUGAUGCACAAAAUUAUCACAAACUGAGUCUAAUUUUUUUCUGUCUGAUUUAGGGUGAAGUUGCUAAGGAUGUGGACAUGGAUGUGUAUGACAUGCCACAAGGAUCAAAGAACAUGCAUUUUCUGAAGUAUAUCGUGUAUUACUUCUUGAAUACGGCCUCAGAUUGCUGCCUAAACUAAAGGUUUAUAAAAUCCCAUGGAAUAUGAGAGCUUCAGAGUAAUACGAGGCGCCUGGCAACAGCAGCUGGGAGCUCCGUGGAAACCAUUGUGUUCCUGUGUGAAGGUAGGUCUGGACCAUGUUCUGUCACUCAGCCAUGCCCAGCAACAUUCACCUUUUGAAUGAGUUGAUAAUCCUUUCAUAUUUACUGCUCAUUAUUGAUGUGUGCGUCGUUAAUUUAAAG
rnacentral:lncRNA from 1 species